GUUACCUCUCUUAAGCUUAAAGUGAAUUGCUCAAAAUGUAGUGACGGGCUGCAUAUAGUCUCUGUUUGCAAAGAUAAUAUGAUAUUACUCUUUGGAUGGGAAUCAAAAGCAGAGAAAGUAAUUUAGGAGGAUCAAACAAUAACUUCAUUUGUAUUGUCCAUGGACAGUAAGUAUUUAUUAGUUAGUCUUUGGAAUCAAGAAAUUCAUCUUUGGAAUAUAGAGGAAAUUGUAAAGCUCAUAUUCAAAUAUAAAGGGCAUAAACAUUCACGCUUUGUUGUAAGGUCUUGCUUUGGCGGACUGGAUCUAGCAUUCGUUGCAAGUGGAAGUGAGGAUUCACAGGUUUAUAUAUGGCAUAGAAGCAAAUAUCCCUUACAUAGUAACAUUCUCUCUGAGAGUCCAAGCCUCCUUACAUAGUUAUAUUGAAUCAUUUUCCAAAAAAUCUUCUUGGAUAGAAACGUUAUUGCUAAGUUUCUAAGGAAAAGUUUCGGCCAAGGUUUUCUUUGCAUAGCAACGUGAUUGCUUCGAGCUUUUCACACGACUUGUUCCAUGUUUUGCCGCAAUUAACAUGUGUUAGAGGAUUGUCAAGAGAAUCGACUCAAGUCUCAAUAGACUGGUCAAGAGUUCUUAAAGUAGGUGAGCAGCUCAGCGGAAGAUGUUGGUGCACUCCAUUUGCUUCGGAGUUUCUUGUUUGGUCGGUAUGAUUUAGAUGUGUAUCGUUUGGUAUGGCGGGGCUCUGUCUUGGCCUUUAUGACCAUUAUGUAUCCGUAGAAGCUUGUAGACAGUUAUCAUGUACAUAAACGAUUGUAUGGCCUUGUCGGCCUCUGUUCGAUGUACGAGUGAUUAUUUUGGUCUUAGAGACACAUAUGUCUUAUGUAUAAGUUUGGAUUACAUGUUGGGCCGUCCAACAUCGAGUAUUUCCCCAUGUUUUAUUCUACUUAUCUCACGACAGCCUCUACGGCGCAUUUACCUAUAAUAGUAUUGUGAGCACCUAA